GCGGCCGCGUCACGCGGGCCGGGAGCCAGGCGGGGCGGCUGCCCGGUGUCAAACUGAGCCGCCUCAGAGCGCCCCGCUGCCGGCGGGGGGGGCGUGGAGCCGGGGGCUCCGCCGCUCCGGAGCACCCUGUAGCAAUGCUUUGGUUUAGUUGCUCGUAGUUGCUGAAGUAAAAGAAACCUCUAUCCUCCCCAUGCUAACUGUUGACAUGGAAAACAAGGAAAAUGGCUCUCUGGAUGUCAAAAAUUCAGUAGAGAAUGGGAGACCUCCAGAUCCUGCUGACUGGGCUGUUAUCGAUGUUGUGAAUUAUUUCAGAACAGCUGGAUUUGAAGAACAAGCCAGUGCUUUUCAAGAACAGGAAAUUGAUGGCAAAUCAUUACUGUUGAUGACAAGAAAUGAUGUACUGACUGGACUUUCAUUAAAACUGGGGCCUGCGCUGAAAAUCUAUGAAUAUCACGUAAAACCUCUACAGACACAACAUCUAAAGAACAACUCUUUAUAGCAAAUUGUCUAAUUGGGGUCAUGUUGUGCCUCAAACAAUAAAUAAGCAAUUUGGUUUCAUGUGAUGGAACUUUGUAAAGAGAGAAUAUAUCUAUUAAGAAUUUAAACCAAAUGACAAUAUAUAUCCUAUUGGAUAGAGUUGGCAAUAUACUAUAUACUGAGUCUGAAAUGAGAGAGGUAGUGUGUAUUUUUUAGGUAGUACAUAAUGAUUUUCUCUUUUAGGAAGUGUCAAUGAGCAUGUUGAGAUAACUACAUCACUGUAUCCAGAACAAAUGGGAGUCUCUCUUGCCUCUGUUACUUUAUGUUCCCAUUCCAGGCUGGUUUCCCUGCGCACCUCCAUCGCUCCAGGCCUGGGCUACAAAAGUCUGUUCCCAGAGGCAGCAUUUACUUGCAGCAGUAUGUGACCUGCUGUGGUCAGCUAAUGGGAUUGAAUGAUGACCUUUGCUUCUGCCCCCCAGGCCCAUGAAGUACUCCUCCAGUUCUCUCUGGCAGGCAGCAAUAGGGUAUGUGCCCCUUUCCUGGUUCUCUCCACCCGUUUCCUUUUUUGUGAGCCUGACAGCAGUGAACUGCUGUCCUGGUGUGUAAUUUGGGAUGGAUCUUGAAGGGAACAUGGCAGGCUUCAACUCAGUGCAGCUGAGAGUUUGCAAGUCUGUAAUAAAACUAUGUAACAACUAACCCCAGCUCAUGUUGUUUCUUACUUGAUUGCCAUAGAUCAGUCAUACACCAGCUGAUCCAUUUAUACAUACAUUUUUAAAUAUGUAUGUAUACUUAUGAGACCAGGCAUGUGUGCAUGCACUCGGAUACAUGUGUGUCUUUUCUUUCUCAGCCUGCUAUGAAUGGUAAGGUUCAGUCUUGGAAAACAGUUUAUAUUCUAAUUAUAGCUGAGAUGAGAGUUGACAUUUUUGUUCCUAUAACUGGAGGAAUUUAGUAAGUUUCCUUUCUAGAUACAGCUGUGCACUUUCCAGGAAGAAGGUGGUGGGCUGUUGUAUUUACACAAUUAGCUGGAUUCUAACUUAAAAAGUAUACUGAAAUUUCUAGGCAGAAGGGGGUUUUUUGGUCACUUUAAGUCAGCUCAGUUCAACUUGUCCUGUACUCCUGAUAAAAGCAAGAUUUAAAAAAAAAAAAAAAAAAAAAAGACAACUUUAAAAAAGAAAAAGAAUAGUUAUAAUA